rnacentral:piRNA from 1 species
UUCGUUACAAGACAGUAGUGCUGAAGA